ensembl:misc_RNA Metazoa_SRP Metazoan signal recognition particle RNA
GCCAGGUGUGGUCACGCACACCUGUAGUCCCAGCUACCUGGGAGGCUGAGAUGGGAGGAUCACCUGAGCCCAGGAGGUCAAGGCUGCAGUGAGCCAUGAUCAUGCCACUGCACUCCAGCCUGGGCAACAGAGUGAGACCCUGUCUCCA